AGAGUUUGAUCCUGGCUCAGAACGAACGCUGGCGGCGUGGAUAAGACAUGCAAGUCGAACGAGAUUAAAUCUGUAGCAAUACAGGUUUAAUCUAGUGGCGCACGGGUGCGUAACACGUGAGCAACCUGCCCUGAAGUGGGGGAUAGCUCGCCGAAAGGCGAAUUAAUACCGCAUGUGGCUAGAUCGGUCAUCCGAUCGAUGCUAAAGCAGCAAUGCGCUUCUGGAUGGGCUCGCGGCCUAUCAGCUAGUUGGUGAGGUAACGGCUCACCAAGGCUAUGACGGGUAGCUGGUCUGAGAGGACGACCAGCCACACUGGGACUGAGACACGGCCCAGACACCUACGGGUGGCAGCAGUCGAGAAUCUUUCACAAUGGGGGCAACCCUGAUGGAGCGACGCCGCGUGGAGGAUGAAGGCCUUCGGGUUGUAAACUCCUGUCAUGAGGGAACAAGAAAGUGAUAGUACCUCAAGAGGAAGAGACGGCUAACUCUGUGCCAGCAGCCGCGGUAAUACAGAGGUCUCAAGCGUUGUUCGGAUUUACUGGGCGUAAAGGGUGCGUAGGCGGUGGCGUAAGUCGAGUGUGAAAUCUUCCGGCUCAACCGGAAAACUGCACUCGAUACUGCGUCGCUAGAGGACUGUAGAGGAGACUGGAAUUCACGGUGUAGCAGUGAAAUGCGUAGAUAUCGUGAGGAAGACCAGUGGCGAAAGCGAGUCUCUGGGCAGUUCCUGACGCUGAGGCACGAAGGCUAGGGGAGCAAACGGGAUUAGAUACCCCCGUAGUCC
rnacentral:rRNA from 1 species